GAGUCCAGAAAUCUUUGUAGAAAAACUCCAGACUGAGGGACGGCAAAAAGGGUGACCGCGGACAAGGACGCUUUUAACAUUUUUAAGUUCUCUACAUCCAUACCUUACAGCCGGAUUCGUGUGUUUUUAUAGUUACUCUUCUGGAGUUAUAGUGAACUUAAUCCGAAAACGACUAAAUAUCGGGCUGCCAAUACUGCGAAAGCAGAUAGUUUAUUGGUCGUCCCGGACCAGCAUAACUUGACGUUUUCGCGCAGUUAACUUUUUACCUUUUCGUGGAUGCGGUGAAGCGGGGUCUCUGGCUCGGCUCAGCUCAGCUCACAGGACCGUUCCCAUGGAGAUGAUAGGAUCACUUCCUGUCUCAGAACAGGCCAGGUCAUGGAGUUAAUGCUGGACCGGGAGUCCCAUCUGCUCCUCCCCCUUCUUCUCAGAGCAGAGCAAGCAGGCCCAUUGCCCUAGCGACUCCACACAGACACAGCGUGUACACAUGCUGCUCCAGAGCCAGUACUAUUCUUCCUUCCGACAAGUAUGCCUCUCAACUUUGUUCAUUUACACAAUGUCCUUUGUUCACAUUUGCUUAUAAAUGUUCUAAACUCACCAAAAAAUGAUAUUUGGUAGCUCCUACCUAUAUAUGUAUAACUUUAUGAGUUGGAUUGCCUCUGCGCUCGUUAACAUAUUUAGCUAGCAGCCUCAAUGGAAAUUCGCUAUUACUUGUGCUAAUUUUGUUAGCAUUCUUUUUUUUGCGUUUUUUUGGCCGGUAAUACCAUAAAUCCUGGAAUGAGAGGACGGUAUGACAAUAUGAGAAAAUGUGGAUACUGCCCAACCCUAGUGGAACACCUCAAUGGCGCUGCCCAUGCUAAAAUGCUUUGGCCACUAGAGGCCUCUAUCAUUCUCUGCUUGCAGAUCACACAUUGCAUCGGGAAAAAAAAAAAAUACAUAUAAAAAACAUUGCAUCGGAGGUACCAUAGAAUUACUGCCUUAUAUAUUAUCCAGAAUGACUAUAGGCCUGAUUCCACAUUGAACACUGCUUCCUUUCCCUUGAUGACUCACUCUUGCAGGUCUUUAAAGACUGCAGAGGUGUUGGCAUGGUGAUAGUUCCAGCUAUUCAAAUAGGGUAAAGGUGAGAGUUUCUGUGUUAGUGUGUGCUUUUAAUAACAGUAAAAAUAUGUCAUUUGUUUGAUCUAACAAUUGUUUUCUAUUGGUGCAGAUUGCAAGUGUUCAAUGUAUUUUGAAUAUGAUGAAUAAAGGCUUUUCUUCACCACAA